rnacentral:lncRNA from 1 species
UGCGUGUGUGGUGGGGUUGUCAUCCCUUUGUGCCUUUGUUUCAACUUUCACCCCGUGUGAACCAUAAAACAAAUCGAUUGCUUCUCCCACGUCUUGUUCUUCGCCUGCCAAUAUGACAGCAAGAAACAAUUUGAGAGGGGAGAAAAGUUAGGGUUUCUGUCCUCCUCUUUUUGUCCUCUUGGAUUCUGUACAUAUGUGUGUAGAUACAUACAGACACAUAUA